rnacentral:rRNA from 1 species
GACGAACGCUGGCGGCGUGCUUAACACAUGCAAGUCGAACGGAAAGGCCCUGCUUUUGUGGGGUGCUCGAGUGGCGAACGGGUGAGUAACACGUGAGUAACCUGCCCUUGACUUUGGGAUAACUUCAGGAAACUGGGGCUAAUACCGGAUAGGAGCUCCUGCUGCAUGGUGGGGGUUGGAAAGUUUCGGCGGUUGGGGAUGGACUCGCGGCUUAUCAGCUUGUUGGUGGGGUAGUGGCUUACCAAGGCUUUGACGGGUAGCCGGCCUGAGAGGGUGACCGGCCACAUUGGGACUGAGAUACGGCCCAGACUCCUACGGGAGGCAGCAGUGGGGAAUAUUGCACAAUGGGCGGAAGCCGGAUGCAGCAACGCCGCGUGCGGGAUGGCGGCCUUCGGGUUGUAAACCGCUUUCGCCUGUGACGAAGCGUGAGUGACGGUAAUGGGUAAAGAAGCACCGGCUAACUACGU